rnacentral:tRNA from 1 species
GCCUCCGUAGUUCAAUGGAUAAAACGACUCCCUUCUAAGGAGUAGCUCUAGGUUCGAUUCCUGGCGGGGGCA